rnacentral:rRNA from 1 species
GACGUAGGAGGCAAGCGUUAUCCGGAUUUACUGGGCGUAAAGCGUGUGCAGGCGGUUUGGUUAGUUGGAUGUGAAAGCUCCUGGCUUAACUGGGAGAGGUCGUUCAAUACUGCCAGACUUGAGGAUGGGAGAGGAAGGUGGAAUUCCGAGUGUAGUGGUGAAAUGCGUAGAUAUUCGGAGGAACACCAGUGGCGAAAGCGGCCUUCUGGCCCAUCUCUGACGCUCAUACACGAAAGCUAGGGGAGCGAACGGG